rnacentral:rRNA from 1 species
GAGUUUGAUCGUGGCUCAGAUUGAACGCUGGCGGCAUGCCUUACACAUGCAAGUCGAACGGCAGCAUGAUCUAGCUUGCUAGAUUGAUGGCGAGUGGCGAACGGGUGAGUAAUACAUCGGAACGUGCCCUGUAGUGGGGGAUAACUAGUCGAAAGAUUAGCUAAUACCGCAUACGACCUGAGGGUGAAAGUGGGGGACCGCAAGGCCUCAUGCUAUAGGAGCGGCCGAUGUCUGAUUAGCUAGUUGGUGGGUAAAGGCCCACCAAGGCGACGAUCAGUAGCUGGUCUGAGAGGACGAUCAGCCACACUGGGACUGAGACACGGCCCAGACUCCUACGGGAGGCAGCAGUGGGGAAUUUUGGACAAUGGGCGAAAGCCUGAUCCAGCAAUGCCGCGUGUGUGAAGAAGGCCUCGGUGUAAG